rnacentral:rRNA from 1 species
AGUGAACGCUGGCGGUAGGCCUAACACAUGCAAGUCGAACGGCAGCACAGAGGAGCUUGCUCCCUGGGUGGCGAGUGGCGGACGGGUGAGGAAUACAUCGGAAUCUACUCUGUCGUGGGGGAUAACGUAGGGAAACUUACGCUAAUACCGCAUACGACCUACGGGUGAAAGCAGGGGAUCUUCGGACCUUGCGCGAUUGAAUGAGCCGAUGUCGGAUGAGCUAGUUGGAGGGGUAAAGGCCCACCAAGGCGACGAUCCGUAGCUGGGCUGAGGGGAUGAUCAGCCACACUGGAACUGAGACGCGGUCCAGACUCCUACGGGAGGCAGCAGUGGGGAAUAUUGGACAAUGGGCGCAAGCCUGAUCCAGCCAUACCGCGUGGGUGAAGAAGGCCAUCGGGUUGUAAAGCCCUUUUGUUGGGAAAGAAAUCCAUCUGGUUAAUACCCGGGUGGGAUGACGGUACCCAAAGAAUAAGCACCGGCUAACUUCGUGCCAGCAGCCGCCGUAA